CAAUUCAACAUCGCAGGUAUUAAAAAAAAUUCUGCAAACUUGGUAUCAGAAGCUGCAAAGAUAAAGGUCAAAACAGUGUUCCAACAAUGGAUUCAAUACAAUAGAGCACAUUGGUAGACUUCUACUCUCCAGUGAUCUAUUAAGUUUUCAGAGGUUCAAAGAGUUCUAUGCUUCAAACACUAUAUGCACUGAGGACGAACCUUACAAAGGUCUUAGUAAUCUGUUAGCCCCUGCAGGAGACUUAUUUUCUUACUUGGAUGAUCUGGCAAAUUCAUUGGAUAUUCAGGCUUACAUAAGAGAGUGUGUUUGGACAGCCGGAAAUUGAUUUCCCACCCCAACACCGUCUAGCUAGCUAGCAUCAGUAGCGUAUUACACCGUUAGAUUGCCAUUAAAAACAAA